UAAAUUCAAUCAUUAUUAUUAUUUUGGCACUUAAUUGCAUGUGAGGUUUUGUGGAGAAAGAAGCACCGAAUAAUUAUUCUGGAGCUGCAAAUCAAGGAACAUGAGUUAGUAGAAGGGUUGGAAUUUUGGAUCAAGUAUGGUAAUUGGCAUCUUUGUUGCAUUUCAUAUGAGAUAAACAAGUCGAUCAAGAUAAGGGUAAGAACUAAGAAGUAAGUUGGCGAACGGAGUUGUGCACGUGUUCUUUGACGGACUCCUAUUAGUUUAUUUUCUUCCUUAUUUUGUAUAGAUUGAACUAUUUGAAUUAUGUAGCGAUUAUUUCCGCUGUUUGUAUUUGAAUAAUUGUUGGUGAUAGUGUACCAUGCAAAUUCAGACGAA